rnacentral:tRNA from 1 species
UAGGAAAUAGUAUAGGGGGAGUACGAGGGGUUUUGGGCCUCUUGGCACAGGUUCAUAUCCUGUUUUUCUAG